rnacentral:rRNA from 1 species
GUAAGGAAUAUUGGUCAAUGGAGGCAACUCUGAACCAGCCAUGCCGCGUGCAGGAAGACGGCCCUCUGGGUUGUAAACUGCUUUUAUCCGGGAAUAAACCUGCCUUCGUGAAGGUAGCUGAAUGUACCGGAAGAAUAAGGAUCGGCUAACUCCGUGCCAGCAGCCGCGGUAAUACGGAGGAUCCAAGCGUUAUCCGGAUUCAUUGGGUUUAAAGGGUGCGUAGGCGGCCUGUUAAGUCAGGGGUGAAAGACGGUGGCUCAACCAUCGCAGUGCCCUUAAUACUGAUGGGCUUGAAUGGACUAGAGGUAGGCGGAAUGUGACAAGUAGCGGUGAAAUGCAUAGAUAUGGCACAGAACACCGAUUGCGAAGGCAGCUUACUAUGGUCCUAUUGACGCUGAGGCACGAAAGCGUGGGGAUCGAACAGGAUUAGAUACCCCUGUAGUCC